rnacentral:rRNA from 1 species
GCGGUUAUUUCCGUUCCGCAAGGAAUGGUUGUAACUGAGUGGCGAACGGGUGAGUAACACGUGGGUGAUUUACCUUCGAGUGGGGGAUAACGUUCCGAAAGGAACGCUAAUACCGCAUGACGUUCUGGGUUUGAAGACCUGGAAACCGAAGUCGGGGACCGCAAGGCCUGACGCUUGGAGAGGAGCCCGCGCCUGAUUAGCUAGUUGGUGAGGUAAUGGCUCACCAAGGCAACGAUCAGUAGCCGGCCUGAGAGGGCGGACGGCCACACUGGGACUGAGACACGGCCCAGACUCCUACGGGAGGCAGCAGUGGGGAAUUGUUCGCAAUGGGCGCAAGCCUGACGACGCAACGCCGCGUGGAGGAUGAAGGUCUUCGGAUUGUAAACUCCUGUUGAUGGGGAAGAACAGGUGCCGGGUUAAUACUCCGGCACAUUGACGGUACCCGUUGAGGAAGCCACGGCUAACUCUGUGCCAGCAGCCGCGGUAAUACAGAGGUGGCAAGCGUUGUUCGGAAUUACUGGGCGUAAAGGGCGCGUAGGCGGCCUUCUAAGUCAGACGUGAAAUCCCCAGGCUUAACUUGGGAACUGCGUCUGAUACUGGGAGGCUUGAAUGCGGGAGAGGGAUGUGGAAUUCCAGGUGUAGCGGUGAAAUGCGUAGAUAUCUGGAGGAACACCGGUGGCGAAGGCGGCAUCCUGGACCGACAUUGACGCUGAGGCGCGAAAGCUAGGGGAGCAAACGGGAUUAGAUACCCCGGUAGUCCUAGCCCUAAACGAUGAGUGCUUGGUGUGGCGGGUAUCGA